UGAAGAAAGUCAAAAGGCGGAAAAAGAUGAUUCGAUCCUACAUGUAUCUUUCAUGGUUUUCCUUAUUUUUCUUUAG
rnacentral:ribozyme from 1 species